GACGAACGCUGGCGGCGCGCUUAACACAUGCCAGUCGAACGGAAAGGCCUGCUUUCCCUUGUGGAUUGCGGGUACUCGAGUGGCGAACGGGUGAGUAACACGUGAGUGAUCUGCCCCCAACUUGGGUAUAAGCCUGGGAAACUGGGUCUAAUUCCCGAUAGGACUGCAGGGUGGUGCCUGUGGUGGAAAACGAUUUUCUAGUGGUUGGGGAUGAGCUCGCGGCCUAUCAGCUUGUUGGUGGGGUAAUGGCCUACCAAGGCGGCGACGGGUAGCCGGCCUGAGAGGGUGGACGGCGACAGUGGGACGGAGAGACGGCCCAGACUCCUACGGGAGGCAGCAGUGGGGAAUAGUGCACAAGGGGCGGAAGCCUGAUGCAGCGACGCCGCGUGGGGGAUGACGGCCUUCGGGUGGUAAACUCCUUUCGACCGCGAGGAAGCCACCUGGUUGGAAGGGUGGUGACGGUAGUGGUAGAAGAAGCACCGGCUAACUACGUG
rnacentral:rRNA from 1 species